rnacentral:rRNA from 1 species
UGAGGAAUAUUGGGCAAUGCCCGCAAGGGUGACCCAGCAACGCCGCGUGGAGGAUGAAUGUCGUAAGAUUGUAAACUCCUGUUAGAGGGGAAGAAUAGUACCGGUUGGACCGGUAUAUGACUGUACCCUCAGAGAAAGCCCCGGCUAACUACGUGCCAGCAGCCGCGGUAAUACGUAGGGGGCAAGCGUUGUCCGGAUUUACUGGGUGUAAAGGGCGCGCAGGCGGGAUAAAAAGUCAGUGGUGAAAUCCUACAGCUUAACUGUAGAACUGCCUUUGAUACUUUUAUUCUUGAGUUCGGGAGAGAGAGACGGAAUUCCAGGUGUAGUGGUGAAAUACGUAGAUAUCUGGAAGAACACCAGUUGCGAAGGCGGUCUCUUGGUCCGACACUGACGCUGAGGCGCGAAAGCGUGGGGAGUAAACA